rnacentral:hammerhead_ribozyme from 1 species
AUUCAGCUGAUGAGUCCCAAAUAGGACGAAAUGCGCAUCCUGGAU